GUCAUUUCCUGUUAUUCUUUUCGCUCCCUCCUCCCUCUGGCGUGGUUUUGCUCACGGUCUGUUUUUGGGGCGUGCCUGCUUCCUCUCUGUCAGGUACAGAAAGAAGGCUGCUCUGUGGGCCCUGGGAAGCUGUCAGUGCUUCAGGAUCAAGUCUCCCAUUCUCUGGCCUUCAAGAAUUUCUCUACGGCUCUUCUAAAACAUCUUCUCCCAUUGGACAUCUAGACCCAGGAGCCAUCUCAGAAUCAUCUCGGCCAGGGCCAGUGUAGCAGGUAAAGCUGCCACCUGCAGUGCCAGCAUCCCAUAUGGGUGCCGGUUCGAGUCCUGGCUGCUCCACUUCCAAUCCAGCUCUCUGCUAUGGCCUGGGGAAGCAGUAGAAGAUGGCCCAAGAGUUGUUGGGCUCCUGCACCCAUGUGGGAAAUCAGGAAGAAGCUCCUGGCUUUGGAUCAGCACAGCUUCAGCCAUUGCAGCCAUCUGGGGGAAUGAACCAGUGGACUGGGAAAAAAAAAGAAAAAAAUAAUCUUGGCCUAGAGAUGCCCCUCCCUGCAGACCAAGGCUCCAAACAAAAUGCAUCCUGGGGCUGACCUCAGAGAAUCCAGGACACUCACCAUGGGCUCGCUGACCCAAACAACCAGGGGUGGGGGGCACCCUCCUGCUCAGUUCUCAGCCUGGAAACCUGAAUUUCCAAGCCCCCUGGUGCUAAUGCGGAGCCCAGAGCCACUAGCUUAGGCUCUUCUGGAGUCCACAUUCCCUUACUAAUGCCAAGUCCCAACAGAGGGGACAUGAAGCAGAGCCCUCCUCACCCCUGCCCAGCAUGGCAACGAACGACUCCUGGAACAGUGCCUCACUCUUUCCACAUGACCCAGUGCAAGCGAGAGCCAGCCAGCCUGGAGAAAGUCCGAGGACUUGUCAGGAUCACCUGGGUAUUCCCAAGAAAGUACCCCACACGGCAGACAUGGUGUAAACCUGCCAGCAGACUCUGCAGGUCACGUGGACUGGAAUCACCUAAUAAGCAGACUUCCAGAGUGGGCAGAGAGCUGCUGGCCCUGGUGCCAGGGACAGGACUUGUGCCAGCAAUUCUGUGUGUUUGAUCUGCAGUACAGUGUGGGUUUCCAGUAAAGCAAAGGUGUGUGUGGAGGCUGAAUGGUCUAAUGCUCUCUCCACUCCAGAAUCCAUACAGAUAAUGUUGGGGGGAGGGGUGGAGGUGUCCAUGUUGCAGGGCAUCGGAUGCCUCGGACUCUGGGCAUCACUUAAGAGAGGAGGGUGAGAGGCUCCCAGUGGGGAGGGAGAGGACCUGAGUCCUGGCCCUGCCUGCUGCCUGCCUGGGCCAAGUGAGUCACUUGACCUUGGACUGGUUAACUGACUGUUGGAAGCGUUCAUUCCAUUUUGCAAUUUUCUCUAAUAAGAACACUACCAAUUAGAUAAAGCUGGCUAAAAUGAACUAGAGAUUUAAAGUAGAAUUUAGAACAAGCCUGGUUCCUAUUUAUUAUUUUUUCUCAUUUGAAAGUAAUAGUUGUUCAAAAUGGGGGGAAAAAAGAAGAAACAGUCCAACCAAGCAAAAAGUGGUUCUACAGAACACCCAUAAUUCCACCCACCCAGACUGGGCUGUUUGUACUCUGCUGAGGUCUUUCCAGAUAAGGGGUUCUUCUUGGGGGA